UCUACCUGAAACUGAAACUGUUUGGUGGACC
rnacentral:piRNA from 1 species